GACGAACGCUGGCGGCGUGCUUAACACAUGCAAGUCGAACGGUGAUGCUCCAGCUUGCUGGAGUGGAUCAGUGGCGAACGGGUGAGUAACACGUGAGCAACCUGCCCCAGACUCUGGAAUAAGCGCUGGAAACGGCGUCUAAUACUGGAUACGAAACUGGCCCGCAUGGGCAUGGUUUGGAAAUUUUUUCGGUUUUGGAUGGGCUCGCGGCCUAUCAGCUUGUUGGUGAGGUAAUGGCUCACCAAGGCGACGACGGGUAGCCGGCCUGAGAGGGCGACCGGCCACAAUGGGACUGAGAGACGGCCCAGACUCCUACGGGAGGCAGCAGUGGGGAAUAUUGCACAAUGGGCGAAAGCCUGAUGCAGCGACGCCGCGUGAGGGAUGACGGCCUUCGGGUUGUAAACCUCUUUCAGCAGGGAAGAAGCGAAAGUGACGGUACCUGCAGAAGAAGCACCGGCUAACUACGUG
rnacentral:rRNA from 1 species